rnacentral:rRNA from 1 species
UACGAAGGGGGCUAGCGUUGCUCGGAAUUACUGGGCGUAAAGGGCGCGUAGGCGGACAGUUUAGUCAGAGGUGAAAGCCCAGGGCUCAACCUUGGAAUUGCCUUUGAUACUGGCUGUCUUGAGUUCGGGAGAGGUGAGUGGAAUGCCGAGUGUAGAGGUGAAAUUCGUAGAUAUUCGGCGGAACACCAGCGGCGAAGGCGACUCACUGGCCCGAUACUGACGCUGAGGCGCGAAAGCGUGGGGAGCAAACAGG